rfam:Oryza nivara chromosome 9, whole genome shotgun sequence.
AAAAAGAUAAACCCUGAGUUUCCGUGCCAACGUUUGACUGUCCAUCUUAUAUAAAUUUUUUUUUAUAAUUAGUAUUUUCAUUGUUGUUAGAUGAUAAAACAUGAUUAAUACUUUAUACGUGACUUAUUUUUUUUUAUAAUUUUUUCAAAUAAGACGGAUGGUCAAACGUUGAACACGGAAGUCAGGAUUUGUCUUUUU